CUCCCAUGUUUUUAAUAUUACCAUUAAAACCUUGCACCAAAAAAUAAACGUUCAAACAUUUGAUAAAGAAAAAUAAUAACAGAUGAUAUAUAUAUAUAUGUGCAAUGGAAAGAAUAAAACAGCAUUAAGUUUACCUUGAUGAUCACAGACAGCUUGGACAUUUAUGCUGUGAAAGCCUUUCCGAUUGACAUAUGAAGCUUCAUCAUCAUGAGGUGCCUGAAUGCGGAUGUGUGUUCCAUCUAUGCAGCCAAUUACAUUCGGGAAUCCAGUUAUAAUUCAAGGAGGAAGGCCAUGAUCUCUUGGCUUAGUUCUCUAAAUGUAAAUGCCUACUAGAAUGAUACCAAGAGUUCGAUUACGCGAUAUACUGCAGACACAUAAUAAACAUGGCAUUAAAGAGCGAACAACAAGACUACUACAUCGUCGUAUUUACCACGUGCAAGGACCCAAUCAUAUUUGGCACAUAGAUACCAACCAUAAACUGAUACGACGGUAUUCUAUUAUAUCCGCCGGAGUGGAUGGAUUUAUUAGGAUGAUAAUGUUUAUGAACGCCGUAGACAACAAUAAAUCUGAUACGCUA